rnacentral:rRNA from 1 species
UACAGAGACUGCGAGCGUUAUUCGGAUUCACUGGGCGUAAAGGGUGCGCAGGCGGCCGUGUGUGUGAGGCGUGAAAGCCCGGGGCUUAACCCCGGAAUUGCACCUCAAACUACACGGCUAGAGCAUUGGAGAGGGUAGCGGAAUUCACGGUGUAGCAGUGAAAUGCGUAGAUAUCGUGAGGAACACUAGAGGCGAAGGCGGCUACCUGGACAAUUGCUGACGCUCAGGCACGAAAGCGUGGGGAGCAAAAGGG